GGUCUUUGGACUGGUUCCUUCAGAUUUUCAGUAACGGUUUUCCAAAUGAACUAAUUCCAAAAAAUUAUUGUGUCUUGGAUUUGGGAUCCUAAAGCAAGCAUUGCGGCAAUUAGACCGUUAAUAAAAGAUGGUCUUACUCUCCCUAUGGUUUUUGUUACUGUAUUCUCCUCAGCAGGACAGCCUUUGAAGAUUCAAUCAAACAGGUUGCAUAAUUUAUUUGGAUUGGAUUUGAGCAUUCCUGUUAAGAUGAAAAAUUAUUACCAUCUCUAAUUGCCCUUGUGAUACAAUUCAAUGGUCUUCUGGACAGUUCAUAGGGCAGUUAGGUGUCAUACACUUUGCCAAGGUUCUGGUGUCACAUAAAGCCCAGAUCAGGUAAUUUUGAACAGAAUGAAGGAGGAUCCUUAUUGGAAAAACUGCGGUCCCAGUGGAGCAGUACAUUAGUUUUCUACUUGUAUGUGUCUCUGUUAGUGGCAUAAUGAGGGAGGCAGCUGAAGAGAUUAUGCCUGUAUCUACCACACCCAGGCCUGAUUCUAUUCAUGGAUAUUAGUUCCUGACAGAUGACGUCUUGGGAGAAGACUAUGAUUUCUUCCAUAUUUUUUGCACUUGUCAACACAGCAAUUCAGUAUACAGAUAGUCAUCAUGUUCAAAGUAUUUAUUGUCUUCUGAGACUCAGUGUGAAGAAUGUUUUGGAUUUUGGUACAGAUCGUGUUAAUAAUCUGUUCCUCCUCAUUGCACUUCACUGCAUUCCAGUCUUGUGGCACCAGAUGGUGCUGCCAACACAGCCUGAUUAGCUGUGGAAGACCGUCUAAAUAGAAAUAAUUUAGUAAAUAUGGCUGGUUGAAUUAAAUUACAUCUAUUCAGAUACUUUCCCCCUUACCAUAUUAUUAUCUAUACUGAUUGUUGGUGUACCGUGCACUAUGAAUGAGAUUUUGAUGCCUUCUGAAGAAGUACGAAGAUUGGAUUCCUCAGCUUGUUUGAAGAGAUUCAAGGACCAAAUGAUUGGGUGACAUCAUUGAAUCACUUGAUAUGAAAGAUGAAAAUUUUAUAAAAAUUUGUCAUAAAGACACUUGGAUAUUAUUUUAGAACAACUGAACUGCUUAAGCUGUAGAGAAAUGUCUGUUUUUAUUAUUCUACAAAU